rnacentral:rRNA from 1 species
GAUGAACGCUGGCGGCGUGCCUAAUACAUGCAAGUCGAGCGAACGGACGAGAAGCUUGCUUCUCUGAUGUUAGCGGCGGACGGGUGAGUAACACGUGGAUAACCUACCUAUAAGACUGGGAUAACUUCGGGAAACCGUAGCUAAUACCGGAUAAUAUUUUGAACCGCAUGGUUCAAAAGUGAAAGACGGUCUUGCUGUCACUUAUAGAUGGAUCCGCGCUGCAUUAGCUAGUUGGUAAGGUAACGGCUUACCAAGGCAACGAUGCAUAGCCGACCUGAGAGGGUGAUCGGCCACACGGGAACUGAGACACGGUCCAGACUCCUACGGGAGGCAGCAGUAGGGAAUCUUCCGCAAUGGGCGAAAGCCUGACGGAGCAACGCCGCGUGAGUGAUGAAGGUCUUCGGAUCGUAAAACUCUGUUAUUAGGGAAGAACAUAUGUGUAAGUAACUGUGCACAUCUUGACGGUACCUAAUCAGAAAGCCAGGGCUAACUACGUG